rnacentral:sRNA from 1 species
AAGAAGAAGAAAAAAACAACAAAGCUAGCUAGCAGUCACAAUAAAAU